CCUUAGAUGUGCAUGUCAGGGGGCCAUUUUGGAAAAAUCUCCUGGUCUUCAGUUUUCCGCUGCCUCCUGUCAGCCAGGCUGGAAAGGGGAGAAGAGGCAGGAAUGAGAGCAAGAAAAGACCGGCUCCCUGGCAGACAGGGCUGGGGGGCUCCUGACACCCUCAAAUGAGUCUGUCCGAGGGUUAGACAUCCCUAAUAACACCUUGAAGGCUAUGGCCACUGCCAGCCGGAUGCUCGGAGCCCUGGGCAUGUUUCCUUCUGACUUGGAGUCGGGGGAUGGAAGACUCCUUGGAAGAAUCUGGAACAACUGCACUAGACCUUAAAAGACAGGUUCUGAACAUCAGACCAAGACGUUUGAAAAGAAACAAGCAAGCCAAUAACGGCUGAGAGGAGAGAGCAAGGAGUUGAGAAAGGAGUUACUCUGCCAACUCAGGAAAAGGCAACAAACCAUGAUCGCAGCAGAGCCAGUUAUACAAAGGGGACCAGAAACUGAGCAUCCUACUACCCGAGUCAAUGGAAGCAAUGUGGUCCUUGAUGGUUGGCAUGAUGGAUGCCUCCAACAUUGCAUGGUGUCGGACUUCUUCCAGGUCUGUGGUGGCUGAGGGUAGAAGUGUUGGGCCUAGCUUCCAUGCUAGUGAGAACUGGGUAGCACUGGGUAUGUAAAGCCUGGGGCAGACAGUUUUCCUCAACCAUGAAACUGGAUGUGGGGCGUGCAGGAGCCUCUGUUGCCUUCAUCAUCUCUUCUACCACAGAACUAAUUUAUAGAUUUGGGAAAUCUAUAAAUUAAGUUGAGAUUGAAAUAUGAGACAUCAACAUGACUGACUGUGUUUCCUACUUGAAAAUGGAGGACCCUUUCCAUCCCCAUCUCCUACAUAAGCGUCUUCCCCAUUCUCCCAAUGCCACUUCUCUCUUCUCUCCUACUCUGUGCUUUUGGUCCUCUGGGUCAUAUCGUUUGCUCUCAGUGCGAUGCGCUCUCUCUCCCCUCUCCCCAUUUUGAUAUCUCAAUUUCUACUCCCCUCACCUAACUCAAGACAGGUGCUUAUGGGGAUCUUUUUUUUUUGCAUAAAUAAAUGUCACCUCACUCCUUAGCUCAUAUAGUGAGAAUAGCCCAAAUCUCCUUAUUCUCACUCUUUAAUUUCCAUAGCCCACUAAGCUGGUAUAAUUGUGAUACACCUCCCAGGUCAGAAUAGCCAAUUAAAACUGGGAUAAAGCGAAACCAAUAGAGAGGAAGCAGGUACUAGAAGAAAAUUAAAUUUAAAAAGUAUUUAAUUUGGUACCACCAACUUUACACAUCACAUAGUGAUAUCUAUUGGCUCCCCAUACCUUACAGAUUGACUUCUAAUUUGGGGGCACAUUUGUUUUUGCAGAAUCUACUUUGUGAAAGACAGAACUGGAUUUUGAUGGUCAAAGACAAUCUUGAAAAUAUGUCUGCAAAAUGUCUGAUUUCAAGUAUAUUCCAGGGAACCAGGCUAGGUUGAAUGUAUCUGCAAUGAGUCAAACAUGGGGUUUAUUUUUAAAAACAUACUUUGAUUAAUUUCAGGUACCUAAUUAUCUCCUCAAUUUAACAACCAUUUCUGUUUAAAUGACAGCUUUUAAAAUAUUUGACUCUAAUAAACCUCCCCUGAAAACUUGUUAUGCUAUUAAUUUGAUAAUACAUUUUUUUUUAAACCGAAUGUUCAUUUUGUAAAACCAACUCAGUGAGUAUCUAAAAAUAAGGCAAGCCCUUCUAGAAUGUGCUCCAAAAUAGUGUUUUGUGUUUUGCCAUCUCACUACCAAGGCAUCUAUAUCAGGUGGCCUCCCCAUCUGUUCGGAUGGCUACAGGUGAAUUUUUUUUUCUUCUGAGGCUGAGGCUCAUUCCAAGUCGAAGUUAAUCCAAAGUCCCCAAACCCAAUGGAAACUUGGUGGAAGAAGGGGUCUCCUUGCCACCCAACCCUCAUGCACAAACACCACUUGAGAAACUUAGAUUACUCCAUCUCUGAGUGCUCCUGAACACUGGCAUGGAGAUGCUUUGGGGAUCUAUAUGCCUUCUUAGCAUCAAAGGAUCAUAAGUGCAUCAGCAUCAUGAGAAGGAGAAAGCGAGAUUGUGAUAACAAAUGUGGACUUGCCUGCCCCAUAAAGCAUGGUGUGGGAGAACUGGCCCAGGAGUUCAGAGGCUCUCGACUCUAAGAUUCAUUCAAUCAAUGACUCAUGUUCCAGCCCUCAGAUCUGCAUUUAUAUAUGAUAAA